CUCAAAACUUCAGAGAACUUAUAAUUUUUCAUUCUGAUUUGUUCAAGGUUAGAAACAGAAAAUAAAAAAAAGAAAAAGAAAAAGAAAAAGAAAGAUCCAAGAUGCUGUGUCCUUUAAUUUCUACUGGUUCUGCUUCACUUUUCUGGGAUCUUAGUAGUAUUCAAGCUUGAGUUUGUUCUUUGAAUAUAAGCUUGCUGCUGUUUGUUGCUGGCUGGAUUUCCAUUUCAGAUUUUGUUAUUUCUGUCAAAUUCAUCUCUUGAUUCUCUUUUAGGUAUGUUACUAUACCUUGUGUUUCUCUUCUGAGAUGUUUAAACUGAAGAUUUGGAAUGCCUAUUUAUGUUCAUGUUUAAUAUCAUAUGUCAUGUUUAAUUGAUAUGAAGUUUAGCGAUAUAGUUGGCUUAGUUGUUUGCAUCUACUUUAAGAAGCUGAAUCCUUUUUGAGGUUUGAGUCUGUCAUUGUUUACUGCUAUUCUUACAUUAGUUUCAUUCUAUAAUGGAUUUGAGUUUCAGUUUGUUCAUAUGGUACUUUGCUAUUGAGGGAUAACCUGGUUAUGGCUUGACCAUUAGAAAAUCAAUGGAGUUUGUAAUCUUCUGGACCUAAUGUGAAGCAUUGGUCGAUUCGAUAACAGUAUUGUGCUUUAUUGUGAGCUCGAAACUAGCGUGAAGAAGUUAUAAAUGCCAAAGGAUUCUCUGUGUCUUCAAAAGAUUAGAAUUCUGUAUUAACUUAGAAAUAGUAUUUGUGGACAUAUACAUGUAAUUUGUUUUGAACUGGUUUGUACAAAUUAAUUGGGUCUUUGAUCAUUUGAUUCUUUCAGUUCAAACA
rnacentral:lncRNA from 1 species